rnacentral:rRNA from 1 species
GACGAACGCUGGCGGCGCGCUUAACACAUGCAAGUCGAACGGAAAGGCCUGCUUUCCCUUGUGGAUUGCGGGUACUCGAGUGGCGAACGGGUGAGUAACACGUGAGUGAUCUGCCCCCAACUUGGGUAUAAGCCUGGGAAACUGGGUCUAAUUCCCGAUAGGACUGCAGGGUGGUGCCUGUGGUGGAAAACGAUUUUCUAGUGGUUGGGGAUGAGCUCGCGGCCUAUCAGCUUGUUGGUGGGGUAAUGGCCUACCAAGGCGGCGACGGGUAGCCGGCCUGAGAGGGUGGACGGCCACAUUGGGACUGAGAUACGGCCCAGACUCCGACGGGAGGCAGCAGUGGGGAAUAUUGCACAAUGGGCGGAAGCCUGAUGCAGCGACGCCGCGUGGGGGAUGACGGCCUUCGGGUGGUAAACUCCUUUCGACCGCGAGGAAGCCACCUGGUUGGAAGGGUGGUGACGGUAGUGGUAGAAGAAGCACCGGCUAACUACGUG